rnacentral:rRNA from 1 species
UACGUAGGGUGCGAGCGUUAAUCGGAAUUACUGGGCGCAAAGCGUGCGCAGGCGGUUGGCAAAGUCAGCUGUGAAAGCCCCGGGCUCAACCUGGGAAUGGCGGUUGAAACUAGUCGACUCGAAUCUGGCAGAGGGGGGUGGAAUUCCACGUGUAGCAGUGAAAUGCGUAGAGAUGUGGAGGAACACCGAUGGCGAAGGCAGCCCCCUGGGCUGAGAUUGACGCUCAGGCACGAAAGCGUGGGGAGCAAACAGG